rnacentral:lncRNA from 1 species
GUUUCUCUCCUUUAAAGUGAAAAUUGCUCACCAUCCUGACUUUCUGGUAUCUUCCUUUUCUUUAACCCACAUGUCCCUUGACUUCCUAGGGCUGCUUAUUAAAUGUAAAUGCAUUUUCAUACUUAUUUUCUAACUUUGCUGAGAGUUGUUUUGUAAGGGCAGAGGGGUGAGCAUAUAUAUCUAGUCAGCUAUAAACUACUUGUUUUAUCAUCUACUUCAUACCCGCCAUGCCUUUGCAACACAAGAAAAGUAUUAUUUAUUAAGGUUGCUUCAUAGCCACACAUUGAAGGUUUAUUAGAUUGUAGAGGUAGAAACUGUUGUAACUAUUCUAAGGGUAGAAACUGUUGUUUGCUGACCUACCUAGUGUUUUAGGCUGGUAUUAUCCCUAGGGAAUACACUCAGAACUAUCAUUUUGUGCCUUUGUCUAAACAGAUUCCAGCUGUAACAGUGUUCCACACUCCCACCCGAGUCAUCUGGUAAGGUACUGCUAGAUACCUCUAUCGACCAUAAGUUAGAAGCAAUGCUGUUACCAUAGCAAAGGAAGGACUUUCUUCAAAGCCUAGAAGAUAAGUUUGAUUUGUGUGGCCAUGUAAUAGUGUCUAAAUGCCCUCUUUUCUACUUAAGUUUAAAGAAAAAAAAAGAGAAAAUAUUCAAAGACACUACUUAGAAAUCUUUAUUAAUGGCCCCUGAAAUCUAGGAUCUGGUAUAUAUGAUUUUGAGCCAAAAGAAAAGAAAUUUCUAUAGAUGGGUUAUUAAAGCAGCCUGUGGCAGAAGAGGAAGAGGGUGUUCCAGUUAGUGACCAGAUAGCAGGAUAAACAGUAGGAAUGUGAAGUCAUUUUGGAGGGGUGGGGGAGGGUAUAGGGCACUUUUGGGAUAGCAUUUAAAAUGUAAAUGAAGAAAAUAUCUAAUAAAAAUUGAAAAAAAAUACAAAUGAUGGUGGGAAUGCAUAGAAAUGGCACUACUCAGAUAACGCUCAUUAAUAAUGGUUUGAUAGCUGCAAAGAAGAUUGAAAUCUUUUGUAGUUCAUAUAAAAUAAAUACAGCAAUAUUAAAAAAAAAAGAAUCCAUGCCUCAACUUCUUGAAAACACGGAAGAGACUUAAGUCAGGGAGUCUGCUGUGCUGUGUUCCCUUCAAAUGCAGAAACUGCUGAGGCAGAGCUGAGAACAGAAAUCCAGAGGAGAGACAGUGCCCUUACGCAAUGUUCCAAGUGAGUGCAGAGAAGAGAAAUUGACCAACACCUUUCUGUUCAAGAAUAACCGCAUAUGACAUGACUCCAAGGGGGAAAAUAGAACAAGGCUACGGUGGCCGAGGAAUUCAAGACAGCAGCUGGAAAAGAACUGUUUUGAAAGCCCAGUGGUGUUUCACCCCAUCUCUGUAAUGGUGGGGACAUCACAUAUCCUUUCUAAGCCUGUAUUUGCUUUGCCUGUGAAAUCAAGAGCAUACAGAAAACACUUUCCUCAUAGUAUUGUUGUGGGUGGGGCUUGAGAAAUAAAAGUGAAAUGCUUUGUUCAGUGUCCACUAAAAUGAAAGGCUGAACUUUUAUUUGUUGUGUUUAAUCUUCCAAGAAGGAAACCUCAAGGCAGAAUUAGAUGUACUCAAGAUUAAGUAGAAGUGUUUGUGAAGGACGAAGGAAGAAUAAAAAGGAAGGCUGUGAAAGACAUCAGCUCUUAAGGUUGUUCUGAGUCCCGAGAGAGGAGAAAUGGAGGAGAAUGGCUUAGACAAGAUGACUCUAACCCUGACUGUACUAUCCCACUGUUUUUGUUUAGGCUACAGAAGCCCACAAGUUAUAUCAGCGCUUUGGAAGCUGGCUCUAUUCCACUGUAAUGGGCUUGGAUUAGAACCCUGAUGUACCUACUAGUAUCUAGGGCAGAUGUGAUUCUAAUGUGAACAUGGUGGUGAUUUAAAAGGGGAAGUUGCUGAGGUUAUCGGUCAAUUAUACUUCCCACAGGGCAGGAUUGGAGCAGUGCAUUUGCGGGUCUGCCGGUAUGGAUUAGAGAUGCCUUGAAUUACUGUGGAUUGAGCUCCACUCCAGAGAAGUGGCCAAGGGACAGAGAUGCCUGGAAUCCAGUUCUUUCCUGGUUGCUAAGCUAUGUGCUUAUGGUUCACACAUACUUGAAGAGAGCACCUUGGCUAAUCCAUAUGAAGGUCUAUCUGGGUAAGGGUCUCCAGCCAAGGCAUCUUACAACACACAGAGCAUAUUAUUUUUAAGCAUAAAGCCUCUAUGUUUGCAUGUAUGUGUACAUAUGUAUGCAUGUAUGUAUACAUGCAUAGCUCUAAUAGUCAAUAGUAGGAGCUGUCCGUAAGAAUCUACUGAGAUCAAUGAGUAGCCUACUAUGACAAUUAGUAUGCAUCAACUCAUUCUCUGAGGGAGAGACACAAACUGGGGCUCCCUUAGGACUAAAAAUGGGAGUUUUUGUAAUUAGUCAUUUGAAUACAAGAGCAUCUCUUUUAUUAAAAGCAGCCAAACUCAUCACCUAGCAGGAAGGGUGACACUCUGAGGACUUAAUUUAUCUUUGCUUCUGUGUACUCAGCAGCAUCUUUACAAAUUGCUCCUGAAGCGAAGUGCAGUAAGGAAAGGCAUGUGGAAAGUUUCAGAGGAAAGCUUUGUUUUCAACUGUGGGUGUGACUCUCCACUUAUCAGGAGGAAGUGUAUCAAAUAUUCCUUUGCUGGAAACAAUGAUCAAAAGCACCUUUUCAUUUGAUUCUUAAACAACAACAAAAAAAGGAUGCAAGUUGUUAUCUCUCUCUCUCUCUCUCUCUCUCUCUCUCUCUCUCACACACACACACACACACACACACACACACACACACAACCAAUUGUGCAAGUUUGUUUAACCCUCAAGAAACAAAUGGCACAGUGUGACCUUGGAACUGGCUGGUUUUGCAGGGGCAGAGACAACUGGUGCACGGUGUGUCAUCCAUCCACACACACCAUGGCCAUGAAUUAGUUAACAUUCUACAUAAUCUUCAUGUGCUGCUCUAAGAUUUCAGGUAUUUUAAAUCUAAAUGAAGGCACUUUGCUUAUCCUGUGUAAAUGGAACUUACAAACAGAACUGCAAUUUCAUUUAAUAGCUAUAAACCAUUACUCUAAUGGUUUGACAAAUACCUAUGAGGAUAGACUGCAAUAUUUCAUCCAAGAAAGGGCUGAAUAUUAAAUAAAUGUAACCUCCCAAUGGGUUCUACUUUAACCCCCUACUAAUUUUGGAGGGAGGACUUAAGAGCUGAAAGCAUUUUAGAGUAAAUGUUAGGGGGCGGAUGCGGCAGGUUCUGAGGUACAGAUUAGCACUUUACCCUGGUAAUCACAAACCCUUUUCUCACCUCCCAUCACUUAAAGCUCAUCACCUUCACAAAGUGUAGAACUUAACUCAGGAGUUAGGGAUGCCAUCCCUUCACAGCUGACAUUCUGUCAGGGCUUUCAACCAUUAGCUAAUUCCCCUCUUCCUGGUUCAUACUUACCACAUCCCUUGGAAAAACAAAACCAUUAUUUACCAUGUAUAGAUCUCCUCCAGGAUGAGAGCAACGCAUACGGCAAUGCCAUACAAAGCGUGACUCAUCUUUCUAAGGAGAGAGAUUAUAUCCAGCAUCUGGAGUCACUGACUAAAGUAUCCUCAAGGGAUUUUUUUUUCUUCCAAAAAUGACAAAAGCUUGUAGGUUAGAGACUGUGAAGGUUGUGUGGAGCCAGAAAAUGAUUUCUGUAAUUACCUUCUAUAAUUAAGGCAAACUUUGAUGCUGGCUGAUUACAGAGUGGGUUAAAAAAAAGUGGCAGGGGGCGGAGGGGAGGGGGGACGGGGACAAUGCUCCAAGGACGAUGUGCUCAAGGAAAUGUAUGAGACAUGGACCGUGUGCCUUGCAUGCUGGGUGGUACACUGCAGACCUACUUUCAUUUGAUUCAUGAACUUUCCCCUACCUGAGGGCAUGUCACUUGUAAGUACCACGUGUGAUUAUUUAUUCUGAUGUCAGGGUGGGGGCCUUUGUGAAGAUCACAAAAUUGAUCAUGUUGGUAAUAACCCAAGCAAAAUAAUAGCAACUGCAAACCCUUUAAUUAUAACUGGUUUUGAAAAAAAAAAUUCUGAAACUGCUUGUAAUGGUUGCUUUCAUUCUGUAGUUUUGUUUUGUGUUUGACAAGAGAAAAAAAAGUGCUGAAAGCUGCUGAUUAUCCAGAAGCAAUUACCAGAAAAACCAAUCAAAAGGCAAUUUGGAUUUUUAGAAAAGUGUGACUUAUCAAUUUAUCCAAUGGAGUUUUUUCUUUUUUCCCCUAUUUCUAGCUAAUUGGAUGUGGUUUAAGAAAUCAUUUCACAAGAAUACCGAUUUAAAAAAACAACAACAACAUACUAAAAUGGACCAAUAAACCAGACCAGAGACACGUCUGUCACUGUCAGACGAUUGCCCUGCCACUACACCUAUUUGUUCCCUGAGACUCUUGUGGAUUUCCAGAUUUUCUUGUGCUCGGUGGCUGCAUCUGCAGCCCUUCAUUCAGCAACAAAGCAGGAGCAGGGUGCAGAGCUGUGUUGUGCUGAAAAAAACAAAAGAUAUCCCGGUGAAAAUGUUAAAUUACAUAAUAUUUCUUCAGACGACAGGUAAAGGAUAUGAAUGCAUAUAAUGAACAGAUCUGAGACAGAUAUUAAUCCCCCUUGUAGCAUAAUGAAGAUUUAAAGAAAAACAAACAGUCCAUGAAGCAUCAUCUUCCUCCCUCUCACCUCCCUGAGUCCCACCAGCGUACCCUGGAUCCCUGGAUAUGCCACAUGUGACAUGUAUAUAAUUUUGGAACAGCAGUAGCUACUAGAACCCACUCAACUCUUUGUCUGUAUAUCUAUCUAUAUCUCUACAUAUGUAAUAUAUAUAUUGCAAAUAUCAUAGCACUUAAAUCUUCAAACAUUUCCUCCUCCAGACAGCUUGAGAUUCUUGUGCACAGGUGCACACUCAUGCAGACACACACAUUUCCAUGUAUUGAACACACACACACACACACACACACACACACACACACACACACACUCACAAUCACUCACACACACAGGCUAUUUCAGAGAGUGUUUCCCUCUUAUUAUUGGGAUAGAUAAGCUACAGGCAAUUUCCUUCCCAUUGUGGCAUCCACAGGUACAUUUUUGGAAGGUUCUAGUGAUACUUGAAAGAUGUCCUGUGUUAAGGGACAAAAAGAAUGUGGCAGAGAGGGGAGUAGGAAGAAGACAGACAGGGAGGGAGGGGAGAGAGGGAGCAAGGGAAGACAAGAAAGGAAAGGACAGACCGAAGGAAGAAUGCCCAGCAGCCUUUGCGGUACUGAAGCAUGCUUUGCUCUGGAAAGGUCCUGAGGGCACGAGUGUACGAUUGCUCGCCUUUCAAUCUUCUAUUUGUGAGAACAUCUUUGCAUUGAUCUCUGUCUGUAUGUCCUGGCGGCGUGCCGUGUUAAUUUGUUUUUGAGAUAUAGAUCCCAUAGUGUUAUCAACACUUGCGCUUCGCAUUAAGAGUCUUCGUACUGCUGUUUCGACUUCGUUGGCGGCAGACUCACACCUGCUACUGUAGAUGGAAUUCCAGAUACAUCCAAACAAACAAAUGAGACAUGAAAAGUAUUUCCAAUGAUGUUGACUUCACAGGGGAGAUAUGUUUUGUUCUGACAUGUAUGGAUGCUUCAGAUAUACUGACAAGUUCAUGGACCCUUAAAGCUAUUUAUCAUGCUCAAAAGAAAG